ensembl:lncRNA
GCGGCGGGGGAAGGGAAGGGAAGGGGCGGCGGCGGCGGCGGCGACAGCGCGGCGGCUCAGCCCCGCCGGCCGCCCGAGCAGCUGGGCAGGGGGACACGCAGAGGGGCGGCGGGCGCGACCCAGCAGCGCGGGGGGAGGCGGCAGCGGCGUGACAGCCCGCCCGCUGAGGGCGCGGGGUUGGGGCGCAGAGACUCUGCUGCCACCUCUGUGACAGCCACAAGCCCGUCCGUGCCGAGGCGGAGCGAGGCACACGGCGUUGCUUCAGGAUCCCGUGGCUGAAGGCGCUCAUCGGGUUGUCUCGCCAUUUCCCUUCACUCUAGCACAAAUGAGGGGCUGCUGCGGAUCCCCACAGCGUCGCUGGGUCUGGGCACGACCCCUCUCACCUCGGGCAUCCCUCAAGCUCACUCCUCUAGAGGUCUCAGUUGCAGCUUGCAUCUUAUUAUUGACACUUUGGUUUUUCUUGCAAACAUUUACACCAAAGCCUCAAGUAUUCAGUCUGGAAUCUCAUCCAUCUACUUUAGAUAUGUCACUGAGACAUUACCUCAAUGAAAUUUUAGGUGUCUUAGCCCUGGAAGGGACGAAAGGAGCAAUCUAAUUCCUCAGCUUUGCUGUGUGGGUAGAGGACACAGAGAGAGGCACUUCUGAAGACCUGCAGAAAAUGACAGCUUUCUUUGAGGCACUUAGAGUGCCUCCUUCUUUCCACUGACCGCAACUGAACUCACAGUGCCAGUGGGCAAAGCCAGCCUGCAGCUAGAGCACUGAUAUCCUCUUGGAAACUCAUCUGAAACACUCCUAACACUUCAUCAACACAGGAUCCAGCCUCUCUAUCCCUACUGCAGGACUGACGUUAAUGAGAUCACAGCGCUUCCACCCACAUUUUGCAUAAAGAUGCAAAAACUUGUAAGAAAGGAAGUGAGUGAUGUUUUUAGACUCUAAUUAAGCCCUGAGCUCCAACUUCUCAGCAGAAUGGCAUAAUCAGCAACCAUCUAUCGGGGUAGUGUGGAUGGUGCUGCAACUGAGCACCUGUGUAGCCUGGAACACAUGAGGCACAGGGCCACAUCAGAGAAGACAAAAGCAAACCCAAGGUUGGCCUAGCAGUCCAGAUGCUCUCUGGCACAAGGUGGAGAGUUAAAAGAUUAUGCUUUGUUUUUCUUGUCUCCUGUAUGACACGUCUUUUCCACAUGUGAGUUUUUUCCUCUUGCUUUUUUUUUCUCUUGAGAUGAGAACUGGAGCCAAUAACUCCUUGUGGAUACAACAGUAGGAAAAGUUGAUGCUUUCUGCCCAAGCAUGGUGUAAUAGUUGGGGUAGUCUUGUAAAAUGUCAGUGACACAUCAGUCCCUCUCUAAUGGUAAAAUGUACACUUGCACUCCUGUGCUUAGCUCAAAUCAUGCUCUCAGUCUUAUGCACCUGUGUGGAAGCUGAUGGCCCAUGUCAGAAAAAGCCAGACAUAAUUCUGACUGCUGCUAAUUUUUCAGGCUUCUAAAAGGGAUUUUAAAUGCCUGUCUUCCUAAGCUGGAUUGUACUGGGACUUGAGGCAAGAGAUAAGUGCCUAUCUUCCCAGAACAGCACCUCCUUAACAUGUGUGGGUGAAUAUA